rnacentral:rRNA from 2 species
AUUGAACGCUGGCGGCAGGCCUAACACAUGCAAGUCGAGCGGUAGAGAGAAGCUUGCUUCUCUUGAGAGCGGCGGACGGGUGAGUAAUGCCUAGGAAUCUGCCUGGUAGUGGGGGAUAACGUUCGGAAACGGACGCUAAUACCGCAUACGUCCUACGGGAGAAAGCAGGGGACCUUCGGGCCUUGCGCUAUCAGAUGAGCCUAGGUCGGAUUAGCUAGUUGGUGAGGUAAUGGCUCACCAAGGCGACGAUCCGUAACUGGUCUGAGAGGAUGAUCAGUCACACUGGAACUGAGACACGGUCCAG